rnacentral:rRNA from 1 species
GGGUUGUGAGGUUAAGUGACUAAGCGUACACGGUGGAUGCCUAGGCAGUCAGAGGCGAUGAAGGGCGUGCUAAUCUGCGAUAAGCGUCGGUAAGGUGAUAUGAACCGUAAUAACCGGCGAUACCCGAAUGGGGAAACCCAGUGCAAUUCGUUGCACUAUCAUACGAUGAAUACAUAGUCGUAUGAGGCGAACCGGGGGAACUGAAACAUCUAAGUACCCCGAGGAAAAGAAAUCAACCGAGAUUCCCCCAGUAGCGGCGAGCGAACGGGGAGGAGCCCAGAACCUGAAUCAGUUCUUGUGUUAGUGGAAGCGUCUGGAAAGUCGCACAGUAAAGGGUGAUAGUCCCGUACACUAAAAUGCAUUAAUUGUGAGUUCGAUGAGUAGGGCGGGACACGUGACAUCCUGUCUGAAUAUGGGGGGACCAUCCUCCAAGGCUAAAUACUCCUGACUGACCGAUAGUGAACCAGUACCGUGAGGGAAAGGCGAAAAGAACCCCGGCGAGGGGAGUGAAAUAGAACCUGAAACCGUGUACGUACAAGCAGUGGGAGCACCUUCGUGGUGUGACUGCGUACCUUUUGUAUAAUGGGUCAGCGACUUAUAUUUUGUAGCAAGGUUAACCGUAU